UUACUACUCUGUUCAAGGUUUUGACCUUUCAAAUGUUCUGAUCUUUCUACUAAUACAAAGAAAGUAUCUGCUUUUACCUGCAAUGUAAAUUUAUUUUUAAAAUGUAUAAUCUAUUCAAAACCACCUACAACUUGUCAUGAAAAUAGCAACCUCCUACGUGCAUGGCAACGGUUAAAAUCAACAGUAACUUUUUUUUUUUUUUCAAUUAUUUUCUUUCAGAACAACCAGAUGUUCGGCGUUCUUCAAAUCAGCAAGAAUAUCGUCUGCCGUAAUCAGUCAUAUCUCUUUUCAAGAGCACUCCAUUUAGGAAGACAGGAAGAAAAAGAAAAACAAAGAGAAAGAGACAAAGGGGAGAGAAGAUAUUUGGACGUCUUGUGUGAGGUGAAUACAGAUAUUAACUUUGUUCCUCUUGGCAGGUAGCCGGCUCUUUAAAUUUGCCAACUUCGCUUGUCGGAAGUUGGUUUCGUUUACCUCCUAAUUCUCGGGAAGAAGAUGUUGAACAACUCAUCUCUAUCCGUCUGGGUUGGAUACUAGUUCUACCUUCACAAGGACAAAAAAGAAGAAGAAAAAAUAAUGGCUACAGAAAAGACGAUAUUUAUCGUGAUUAUGUGUUUCCGUACCUUUCAGAAAUGUCAAAAAGCAUCUGAUACGAGGUUGAUGUCGAAAUGCUGUGAUGCUGUGGGAGCUUCUAGAAAAUCGUUUCCGUAAUAAUAAUAAU